AGCCCUGGGGUGUGAACACGUAAGAUUGCAAAUCUUAAGAGGCAGACUAGCGUUUGCCGGGGCUU
rnacentral:tRNA from 1 species